GGGGAACUGGGGUUGGCCCAGUUGUGAAGGGUGGCUCCCUUCACAUGUUGGCCUCUGGGUUCAAUUCCCAGGUUCUCCA
rnacentral:tRNA from 1 species